AGUGAACGCUGGCGGUAUGCCUAACACAUGCAAGUCGAACGGCAGCACAGUAAGAGCUGGCUCUUACGGGUGGCGUGUGGCGGACGGGUGAGGAGUACAUCGGAAUCUACUUUUUCGUGGGGGAUAACGUAGGGAAACUUACGCUAAUACCGCAUACGACUUACGGGUGAAAGCAGGGGAUAUGUGGACCUUGCGCUAUUCAAUGACUCUAUGUGGUAUUAGCUAGUUGGUGGGCUUACGGCACACCAGGGCGACGAUCCUUAGCUGGCGUGAGAGGAGGAGCAGCUACUCUGGAACGUAGAGACGUCCAAGACUCCUACGGUAGACAGCAGUGGGGAUUAUUGGGGAGUGGGGGCAAGCUUGCCCCGGCAAGACCGCCUAGGUGAGGAAGGCCUUCGGGUUGUAAAGUCCUUUUGUUGGGAAUGAAAUUCUGCAGGUUAAAACCGAGCUGUUAUGACGGUACCCGAAGAAUAAGCUCCGGCUAACUACGUG
rnacentral:rRNA from 1 species